ACCGAAGCUUGGGGUGCAUAACUUUGUUAUGCGCGGUAGAGGAGCGUUCCGUAAGCCUGCGAAGGUGACUCGUAAGGGUUGCUGGAGGUAUCGGAAGUGCGAAUGCUGACAUGAGUAACGAUAAUGCGGGUGAAAAGCCCGCACGCCGUAAGCCCAAGGUUUCCUGUUCAACGUUCAUCGGAGCAGGGUGAGUCGGCCCCUAAGGCGAGGCAGAGAUGCGUAGCUGAUGGGAAGCAGGUUAAUAUUCCUGCACCGUCGUAUGAUGCGAUGGGGGGACGGAUCGCGGAAGGUUGUCCGGGUGUUGGAAGUCCCGGUCCUUGCAUUGGAGAAGGCGCUCAGGCAAAUCCGGGCG
rnacentral:rRNA from 1 species